GACGAAGGGGGCUAGCGUUGUUCGGAAUUACUGGGCGUAAAGCGCACGUAGGCGGCUUUGUAAGUUAGAGGUGAAAGCCUGGGGCUCAACCCCAGAAUUGCCUUUAAGACUGCAUCGCUUGAAUCCAGGAGAGGUGAGUGGAAUUCCGAGUGUAGAGGUGAAAUUCGUAGAUAUUCGGAAGAACACCAGUGGCGAAGGCGGCUCACUGGACU
rnacentral:rRNA from 1 species